rnacentral:lncRNA from 1 species
CUGCGCCUCGCCCAGCCAGGCCGGCGCCGGAGCUGGGUCAGCGCAGUCAGUGAAAGCAGUGUACCGCCAUCUUUUUUGUGGGCAAAGAGUCCUUCGAGGUUUAUGUUUCCAAAGUAGGCUUCUCAGGAAGCCCAUAGAGAGACGUUCGAAAGAGAAUGGGCUCCUUGCACACUGAAAUACUGAGCCGAAUGGUUGGGGGUCGAAGUGGCAACCCAUGAAACCGAGAAUAAACGAGAGGCCUGCCCUGAGUAAAGUUGCAAAAGUUUCAGUCCAUGGACACUUGCUGCUGGAAGACAUGGGAGAGAGAGUCAAGCUACAGCAGUAAGUUUCCAGAAACUUUUCUUCGUACAAUCUAGUUCUUUAUUGAGAAGAACUAAGUAGAAGAUCAGCAACCCCUGCUUCCUGCUUCUUACAUCGUUUCAGGAAGACCAGCUCCCUGCUUUGAAGUGGGAGAGCUCAGCUAAGAAACAUUCCAGCAGGGCAUUGGUGGUGCACACCUUUAGUUCCGGCAGAGGCAGAGGCAGAGGCAAGUGGAUCUCUGUGAGUUCAAGGCCAGCCUGGUCUACAGAACGAGUUCCAGGACAACCUCUAAAGCAAUACAGAGAAACCCUGUCUCGAAAAACCAAAAAGAAGAAAGAAAAAAAAAUUCUUCCCUGAGGAGCUCCAGGCCAUGAAAGUCUGUGAGGUUUCGUCCAAAGAUGUGUUCACCACUGCCUGGGCCUCUUCUGUUGCAGAGCACCAGAGGAUGGGGAAACUGAGGCAUAGAGAGAUCAGAUCACUGUGCUGGCAUGGCUGCCUCCCAGGAAGAAAGCCAGACUUCAAGCCCUGUGCCUGACUCCAGAACCUGUGCUCUUUGUCCUGUACCACACCACAUCCGGCAUGAAAAUGGAAUGAACACAUCCCCCACAGAUUCUGGCUCUCUGUUACAGUUGGAAUGCCCUUGCCUGACUCCACCAUUGGUUACAAAUGCCACACGAGGGUUAAUACCAGGGAGUGAUCUCACUUAACUAUACAGAAACCCAGUGAGGGAAGAUGGUACGACAGUGUCUCCUCACUGCACAAAGAGUCUCAGCUCUUCACUGCCUUACCCGUGGCCAUCUGCCUAGUGAGCUGCAGAACCACGGUUUGGAACUCAAGCAGCCCAGUGUCAGAAAGUGGGCCCCAAACCAUGUUCCAAAGCUGAUGAUGGGGGCCCAUGUGGAGGCCAUGGUCACCAAAGCAAGCACGUGUUACCCCCUAAAGCCCAGGCUUGGGGGCUGGGUUGGCAACUGACACUGUAAUGGAAAACCAGUGCAAUGGAGAUACGCCUAUCCACUUGCGACCAGCACAAAGGAGGGUGCUCUCAGAAAUUCUGUUACACAAAUAGGUGUCUGACUCAUGUCAGACAAAGCGAAUAUGCUCAUCCAUGAAGGCAUGGCCAUCAGAGGGCAGGACAAAAAAAUGUGAGGAGACUAAUGUUCUCCAGUGUUUACUCUGCCCAGGUCAAACAAGGAGGUGAGGUCCCUCACCUCCUGCAGAGUGUCACAUGGGGAGGAGCCCAGGAAUUCAAAUGCCCUGUGUGCCAGUUAAUUUUCUCAUUGCUAUGACAAAAUACAGGACAAAAGCAUGGGAGGGAAGGAAGAAAGGAAGGAGGAAGGGAAGGAAG